rnacentral:ncRNA from 1 species
CACCGCCCGUCACGUCACGAAAGUCGGUAACACCCGAAGCCGGUGGCCCAACCCCCUUGUGGGGAGGGAGCUGUCGAAGGUGGGACUGGCGAUUGGGACGAAGUCGUAACAAGGUAGCCGUACCGGAAGGUGCGGCUGGAUCACCUCCUUU